AAAGGUGAAAAAAAGAAAUAAAUAAUAUAAAUAGGCAACGUAAAGUAAUUCCACAUAUUGUAAUCAAAACAGUACACAUACGAUUGUGUACUACUACAGGUUAUGUUUAUUAAAUGAAGCCCAAAAUAU